rnacentral:misc_RNA from 1 species
UCCGGUUUGGCACCGGCGGUCUCCGAUGAGUCCCCGGCUUUACCCGCUGGCAACAUCGGACAGGGGUUGCGCUCGUUGCGCCACUUAAGGCAACACCUCACGGCACGAGCUGACGACAGCCAUGCAGCACCUGUACGGGCUCCCGAAGGAGGACCGGCUUUCACCGGCUUCACCCCGCAUGUCAAGCCCUGGUAAGGUUCUUCGCGUUGCGUCGAAUUAAACCACAUGCCCCACCGCUUGUGCGGGUCCCCGUCAAUUCCUUUGAGUUUUACCGUUGCCGGCGUACUCCCCAGGCGGAGAACUUAACGCGUUAGCUGCGACACAGGAGGGGUCGAUACCCCCUAUACCUAGCAUUCAUCGUUUAGGGCGUGGACUAC